CAGCAGUCGCCACGGGAAUACGUAGGGUGCGAGCGUUAAUCGGAAUUACUGGGCGUAAAGCGUGCGCAGGCGGUUGUGUAAGACAGGUGUGAAAUCCCCGGGCUUAACCUGGGAACUGCGCUUGUGACUGCACAGCUAGAGUAUGGCAGAGGGGGGUGGAAUUCCACGUGUAGCAGUGAAAUGCGUAGAGAUGUGGAGGAACACCGAUGGCGAAGGCAGCCCCCUGGGCCAAUACUGACGCUCAUGCACGAAAGCGUGGGGAGCAAACAGGAUUAGAGACCCCUGUAGUCCCUGUCUCUUAUAC
rnacentral:rRNA from 1 species